ensembl:snRNA U6 U6 spliceosomal RNA
GUGCUCACUUCACCAGCACAUACACUAAAAUUGGAAUGAUCCAGAGAAGAUUAGCAUGGCCCCUGCUCAAAGAUGACACAGAAAUUCGUGAAGCACUCCUUAUUUUU